rnacentral:rRNA from 1 species
ACGAACGCUGGCGGCAUGCCUAACACCUGCAAGUCGCACGCGACCUUCGGGUCUAGUGGCGCACGGGUGCGUAACGCGUGGGAACCUGCCCUUAGGUUCGGAAUAACUCCCCGAAAGGGGUGCUAAUACCGGAUAAUGUCUUCGGACCAAAGAUUUAUCGCCUUUGGAUGGGCCCGCGUUGGAUUAGCUAGUUGGUAGGGUAAAAGCCUACCAAGGCGACGAUCCAUAGCUGGUCUGAGAGGAUGAUCAGCCACACUGGGACUGAGACACGGCCCAGACUCCUACGGGAGGCAGCAGUGGGGAAUAUUGGACAAUGGGCGAAAGCCUGAUCCAGCAAUGCCGCGUGAGUGAUGAAGGCCUUAGGGUUGUAAAGCUCUUUUACCCGGGAUGAUAAUGACAGUACCGGGAGAAUAAGCUCCGGCUAACUCCGUG